rnacentral:rRNA from 1 species
CCUACGGGUGGCAGCAGUGAGGAAUAUUGGUCAAUGGGCGUAAGCCUGAACCAGCCAAGUCGCGUGAGGGAUGAAGGUUCUAUGGAUUGUAAACCUCUUUUAUAAGGGAAUAAAGUGCGGGACGUGUCCCGGUUUGUAUGUACCUUAUGAAUAAGGAUCGGCUAACUCCGUGCCAGCAGCCGCGGUAAUACGGAGGAUCCGAGCGGUAUCCGGUUUUAUUGGGUUUAAAGGGUGCGUAGGCGGCCUUUUAAGUCAGGGGUGAAAGUCUGUGGCCCAACCAUAGAAUCGCCGUUGAAACUGGGGGGCUUGAGUAUGCUUGAGGCAGGCGGAAUGCGUGGUGUAGCGGUGAAAUGCUUAGAUAUCACGCAGAACCCCGAUUGCGAAGGCAGCAUACCAGGCCAUAACUGACGCUGAUGCACGAAAGCGUGGGGAUCAAACAGGAUUAGAUACCCCAGUAGUC